rnacentral:rRNA from 1 species
UACGUAGGUGGCAAGCGUUGUCCGGAAUUAUUGGGCGUAAAGCGCGCGCAGGCGGUCCUUUAAGUCUGAUGUGAAAGCCCCCGGCUCAACUGGGGAGGGUCACGCGAUACUGAUCGACUGGAAGGCAGGAGAGGGUAGUGGAAUUCCCGGUGUAGUGGUGAAAUGCGUAGAUAUCGGGAGGAACACCAGUGGCGAAGGCGACUACCUGGCCUGUUCUUGACGCUGAGGCGCGAAAGCUAGGGGAGCAAACGGG